CUCAUCGCCAACGGUGACUCACUCAAUGCAAGCAAGGCACGUGUGGGGCGCAUGGGUUCGACUCCCCAGCCUGCUCCAGAGCAUAAAAUCCACCAAACCACCCACUCGAAAAUCAGACGACCAUCGCCACCAUCCUCACAGCUGACACCACCACCACCAACACCACCAGCACUUCUACCACCAGCAAAAUCUACAUCCCACUACCAUCACCACCAACACCACCCAGAGCCUCCACUGCAGACUCUUUGCAGGAGAUAGACACGUUUUUGUCCGCGUAGGUACACAGCGGGGUUGCGUGUCUGCGGUGAAGUUCUGUUUAACGGCUCUCCGGGGGAUCUGUGCCAUUGCUUGGGUGGAGGUGCUCGUAUUUGCUGGGUGAGGCGCGUGCCACGUGGUGCAGAGCGCGUGCCCGGCCAGGAAUGGUGCGUGACCCGGGUCUGCUCCUUACGCCACCUCCACCACCGUCGCCACAGCACCGGGACGCGCUGACGGAGUUCCCACCACCCAUCCGACUGCACCUGCUGGUGCUGCUGCUGCUCCUGCCCUGAGCUGGGCAAGUGAGCAAGUUCCAACCAUAUCAUUGCCCUGAAGGUCCGGAGCAGAGGAGGAACCACACGGAUCCUGAGUGGGAGCCGCGGAGAAGGAGGAGACGGUGCUGGUGCUGCUGGUGGUGGUGCUGGUGGCCGAGGGUUCUCGGAGGGAGACGAUCCCCGGCUCUUGUCCCCACGUGGACCGAGAGUUCACACUUGUCGUGGACCGGGUGCAAGAGGUCGUGAGGACAUCACCGCUGGGC